rnacentral:rRNA from 1 species
UAAGGAAUAUUGGUCAAUGGACGCAAGUCUGAACCAGCCAUGCCGCGUGAAGGAUGACGGCCCUACGGGUUGUAAACUUCUUUUGUACGGGAAAAAACCACCGGUCGUGUAUCGGUGCUGAUGGUACCGUAAGAAUAAGCAUCGGCUAACUCCGUGCCAGCAGCCGCGGUAAUACGGAGGAUGCAAGCGUUAUCCGGAUGCAUUGGGUUUAAAGGGUGCGCAGGCGGAAUGAUAAGUCAGUGGUGAAAUCCUACGGCUCAACUGUAGAACUGCCAUUGAUACUGGCGUUCUUGAGUACACUUGAAGUGGGCGGAAUGUGUCAUGUAGCGGUGAAAUGCUUAGAUAUGACACAGAACACCGAUCGCGAAGGCAGCUCACUAAAUUGUAACUGACGCUCAGGCACGAAAGCGUGGGGAUCAAACA